rnacentral:rRNA from 1 species
UACUCUUGCGUAAGGGAUUAUUUCCCUUUUGUUGCCUGCACCUCAUACAUUAGUGCUCGAGUGUCCUCGAGCCAUAGACUAGGCAGGUCUUAUCGAAACACUAAGCUACUUAAUUUACUCACACCGUCCGACGCCCAGGUGUACUUAAGGUAUGCAGUGACAUGCGUGAACUGGCUACCCGGGACCGAACCUGCCUGCAAACCUGCGGUACCUGCCUCGCUCCGUCUCGGCACCGAGUUCUACAGCAGCCGCAGACUAGACACCUAGUCUAGGCCACGAAAGGCCAUCACCGCCGUCCCGUGCGUCAUUUACAUUUUCAACCCGCGACCCCGUUCGAUAGGGGAUGGGUCACUUCAACCUAGAACGUAAGAAGUUCCGUCCCUUGGCCACCUCUUUAGAGGACGUCCUUUCCCCUCACCCGCCAGGUCGCUCGUACCUCAAGAACAACGUCGGUAAUUUGUCAUGGUGUUGUGACGAUCUCUUCCAAUUGCUCUUGUUGUUGUGGUAACUCGGAGAAGUGAUGGGUCAGUACCGCGGCCGCCACCAACUCGACGGCCGGGGCCGCCGGAGUUCACGUCUUCCGGUUUAGACACAACUUCCGCGGCGAGGUCUCGGCCGGUCACGUCUGUUCCCAGUUCCAAGUCUCGUGAGAUAUCUCGUUCACCUAGGUUUUCGAGGCCCCACCUGCGUUUCUCACGCACAACCGCGACGGCGUGAUCCGACUCGAGGAACGGGAGUGUCCUAGAGUCGGGACCUCUUUAGUCAGGCCGUUAAACGUCUUUUUGGUCCUCUGAAACAGUAACACGUUUCUAUCCUUGUUCAAAGCUGUGUGAACCACUCCGCAUGCUAAAAACUGUUAAAUAUAAGCACCCGCUUUCCUAAGUCAUAAUCCAUUCCCUUCUCGUCCGAUUUACACCUGGCCUGUUCUACGUACGUUUUCUAUCAGACACCCACACGCCUCUCUGGCGAAUGCACUCGUUUGUAGCGUUGAUUUUCUGUACGACCGUUUUAGAUGUGUGCUUGAUACAAGUUCGUCAAAACGGUAUAUCAUAUACUCACACCUCGUAUGGUCUACCUUCUCUAGCUCUUUCCUUUUUACAUAUAAUGUUAAGUAUGGCUCCUUCUCGACGCCCUCUUCACCACUCCUUAAACUAACACUUACACCGGUCAAGCGUGUGUACGCCUACGAGAUGUCGGUACAGAACUUCCGAGACCUGAAAUAAGAAUAAUUCCUUUAUGGAACCUUCGUGUAUCACUUUUAUACCUGAUCUCUACGGUCUCUGUAGGAUGGGGGAGUAGACUGUGUUAUAGUCUUCCUGUUACGAGUGUUUUUAAGUAGAUCAAUAUCCGUAAAGUUAUACAUCUACGUACUGUACUUCGAACAGGCAUACCCCCUGUGCUCACAACUUCGUAUAUUCGUAGAUUAAAGAUACUAGUUCUUAACACGACGACCUUACUGUGGUAAACGACUUUAUUAUUCCCUGUCAGAACCUAAUCUCCUGUACUACCGUCUCUUACCUCUACAACAAUUGGUCCAAGUCUGUGUUCAAUCAUAAGUCAAACGUGGUUUGUCUCACCUAUCACAACAACCGUUGCUGCUUUGCUGAGCCGAUUGCUCAGACCAUUAUCCGACAGUCCUAAUAAUGGAGACCGAUUCUCCUUCCUGUACCUUUCCGGAUGCUGUUCGUCUCUCUUCCGCGAAAUACUUCCAAACUCAUUCUCCUGUUCUAAAACGUGCUAAAGAACCGCCGUUCCGGUGUUUACAUGUUGAAACGGGACUAGCGCCCCUACAGGGUUUCGUCCGCUCCUUUGGACGUGCUACGUUUUCAACACCCCACCUGUUUCGUCGUCUUGAGUCUGACUUAUUAAAUGUUUGAAUCUAACAAAGUCGUACUGUAUAAAGACAGUACCGGCCACUGAGUACGGUCUCGAUCGUGUCCCCUGACCUCACGAUUACACUGUAACCCUCGCAGUCACACACACCCGUGUCGGCCAGGAACACGCACAUUCACAGCCCGCGACCACACCACAUGCACUCCGGGACCAAUCCUCAGCACACACCAAACACCCACGUAUUUGUGGGUCAGAACAUUACACAAAACCCACCUUUUUUGCUUUUAUUCAUCGUUUUCAGACUUAAGGGGACAGAGGAAGAGACAAGGGUCAGGGGAGCAGAAGAGGAGAAGUUCGUAUGGUCC